GCAACGCUCAGCCGCUAAUGACAGUUAACGGUCAUCUGGUGAUUUCCUCAGACACGGCUUUGAGUUUUCGCUUUUGUUUGGUCAAAAAAGGUUAAAAGACAAUGGGAAGAAAUGCCAUCGACUAACCACAGCUGACAACCAGAGACGCGGACACGCCAAAAAACACACACACACAAUCACACACGAAAAUACCCUUACGAAAAUUAACCAUGGUUUUACUACAAAUAAAACCAAAAAACCAUAGUUACUGUAGUUAAACCAUGGUAACCACAAAUUAACCAUGGUUUUGCUAUAUUAACCAUAGUUUAACCAUGGUAUUUGUAGUAAAUCUGUGGUUUUACAAAUGGCAGUCAAUACGCCAAAAAACCAUGGGUUACUACAGUUUUACUAUAAUAAAACCAUGGUUAUUUUUCGUAGCCCUGCAACUUUACCAUUGUUCAAUUAAAAUAAAUCUAUUUUGCUUCA